GAUGAAGAACGUAGCGAAAUGCGAUAAGUAAUGUGAAUUGCAGAAUUCAGUGAAUCAUCGAAUCUUUGAACGCACAUUGCGCCCGCCAGUAUUCUGGCGGGCAUGCCUGUUCGAGCGUCAUUUCAACCAUCAAGCCCCCGGCUUGUGUUGGGGACCUGCGGCUGCCGCAGGCCCUGAAAAGCAGUGGCGGGCUCGCUGUCACACCGAGCGUAGUAGCAUACAUCUCGCUCUGGGCGUGCUGCGGGUUCCGGCCGUUAAACCACCUUCAUAACCCAAGGUUGACCUCGGAUCAGGUAGGAAGACCCGCUGAACUUAAGCAUAUCAAUAGCGGAGG
rnacentral:misc_RNA from 1 species